UCUGUUUCAGGAGCAAUGCAAAAGGCUUAUCCUGUGUACCUAUGUGGAAUCUUCCCUGGCCUACGUGUAUGAUGAAACUGAGGCCCAGACAGUUUAAUAGAUAUGACCAUAAAACUCCCACUAUUACUUCAAGAAUUGAACAAUUGAGAUGGACUCUUAAGGCCUGAAGAUAAAAGAU